UACGUAGGGUGCAAGCGUUAAUCGGAAUUACUGGGCGUAAAGCGUGCGCAGGCGGUUUUGUAAGUUUGUCGUGAAAUCCCCCGGGCUCAACCUGGGGAAUGGCGAUGAAGACUGCAAGGCUAGAAUCUGGCAGAGGGGGGGUAGAAUUCCACGUGUAGCAGUGAAAUGCGUAGAGAUGUGGGAGGAACACCGAUGGCGAAGGCAGCCCCCUGGGUCAAGAUUGACGCUCAUGCA
rnacentral:rRNA from 1 species